UACGUAGGGGGCAAGCGUUGUCCGGAAUCAUUGGGCGUAAAGAGCGUGUAGGCGGCCCGGUAAGUCCGCUGUGAAAGUCGGGGGCUCAACCCCUGAAUGCGGGUGGAUACUGCUGGGCUAGAGUCCGGAAGAGGCGAGUGGAAUUCCUGGUGUAGCGGUGAAAUGCGCAGAUAUCAGGAGGAACACCGAUGGCGAAGGCAGCUCGCUGGGACGGUACUGACGCUGAGGCGCGAAAGCGUGGGGAGCAAACAGG
rnacentral:rRNA from 1 species